rnacentral:rRNA from 1 species
UACGAAGGGGGCUAGCGUUGCUCGGAAUCACUGGGCGUAAAGCGCACGUAGGCGGAUCUUUAAGUCAGGGGUGAAAUCCCAAGGCUCAACCUUGGAACUGCCUUUGAUACUGGGGAUCUCGAGUCCGGAAGAGGUUGGUGGAACUGCGAGUGUAGAGGUGAAAUUCGUAGAUAUUCGCAAGAACACCAGUGGCGAAGGCGGCCAACUGGUCCGGUACUGGACGCUGAGGUGCGAAAGCGUGGGGAGCAACAGGGA